rnacentral:lncRNA from 1 species
UUUGUCCAUACAAAUUUAAGUCAGUGGGGUCUAAUAUGCCAUUUAUCCUGUCAGUCUGUCACAGAGUCGUCUCAGUUUAACUGCCAUCACCAACCUGUCAACAGCGCUGGCUGAGGGACGGACGAUAACGCUGGAUCUUUCACAUUCCACACUGAAAAAAGAGUCGGUCAAAACCCUCUGCCAUGCACUCACGCUCUCCACGCUGGAGUCGCUCAACUUGUGUGGAUGCUCAUUGACUACAGCUGAUUGUGAAGCUCUGGCUCAGAUGCUCUCUGGAGGCUCACGGCUGCGUGUGCUCAAUCUGUGUGGGAAUAAUCUGGAGGAUCAAGGCCUUAUUCACCUCAGCAGUGCCCUGGAAAACUGCAGACUACAAGAAAUCAAUCUGGAUUUAUGCUCACUGACGGCGGCAUCCAUGCCUGCGCUGUCUUCAGCUCUGAACAGCGGCUUUUCAGAGCUGAGGAAGCUAAGCCUGAGCCGGAACGCAGUGAUGGAUGAUGGGAUAGAGCUGAUCUCACGAGUGUUACAGAAAGGCAGCCUCAACACAUUGAAGUAAUACACACAUACUCUGUUUAGGUGACCAACACAAAUGCCUAAAAACCACC